UUUUUUUUUUUCUUUUUUUUUUUUUGAGGCAGAAUUACGCUCUGUCACCCAGGCUGGAGUGCAGUGGCGUGAUCUCAGCUCACUGCAACCUCCACCUCCUGGGUUCACGUGAUUCUCCUGCCUCAGCCUCCCGAGUAGCUGGGACUACAAGCAUGUGCCGCCACAUUCCUAGGCGAUUACUCCCAGCAAUUUAUAUCUUGUAUAUCAGUCCAAUAUUUGUGACAAAAUUUCUUCCAUGUUUAUCUCUGGCCUUUUAAUUAUACUUAUAUUUUUACAUGUAUAAUAUUUAGUUUGUAAAUAAAAUGUAUUCAAGCUUAAUAUUCUUUCUUUGCUCCGGUGUUUGAAAAGUUUCUCUCCAUAAGUAUCAGUUAACUCUUCCCCCAUACUUUCUCCAUUUUUAUGGUUGCUAUAUCUGACAUUUAAAUAUUCAGUGCAUUUAGAAUGUAUUUGGGUAUUUCACAUGAGAUGCUGACUUAAUUUUUUAAAUAAAUCACCAAUUUUCUAACAUUGUCAAAAAAAAGCCUUCCUUUCUCUAGUGGUUUGUAUAUGCAUCUUUUACUGUGCUUCAAUUUUACACACACAGAAAUGUUUCAGGGGUAUUUUACUUCAUUGAUCUAUUUAUUUGCUGAUUCUUGUAAUAGGACAGAACUCUUUUUUAUAGUUUUUAUGAUAAAUUUAAUAUCUGCUGCAGUGAUCAUUCUUCUCAUUCUUCUUUUUCAAAAUUGUUUUUGAAGUGAAAAGGAAAAGCAAUGCCUUUUAAUUUUUUUCUUGGUGCAGUAUGUAGAAUAGAUUUCACACUCUGCACUCUGCAGCCAGCCAAAGACUCCAAUUCUGACUUUUUAGAUCAUUAAUUAUAGAACAAAGUUAGUGUAUCUACCUGAGAUUCAGUUUACGCAUCUGUGAAAUGGGGUUAAAUAGUAUCCCUGUCUCAUGCAUACCAUGAGAACCUACCUCAAGCCAGGAAUUCAGGGCCUGAAAUAUAGAAGGUGCUCAAUCAACAGCGACUGUCAUUCUGAGGUUCAGAGGUUUCACAUUCUCUCUGUGACCUCGUCUGGUGAGUAAAAACGAUAACAGCUGUCUCACUGGCACCCAGGGCCCCUGGGUUUGAAUUUUGCUGCUUUGACAUUUCAAGGUGGUGGAUCUCAUGGCAUCUGAAGUAUUUCUAGGAGCCAUCUGUUCUGAAGUUCAUGUGUAGCAAAAGGCAACCUGUUCCUAGUUGAAAAAGACUGAUGGGGUAAAGAGAGCCACAGAGCGGAAUUCUAUCCAAAGUAACAUCCUCCUAUAGCCUACAGUUUGGUCAGGAACAUAGGCAUGAGUAUAGGCUUGAAGACUCAGCCCCACCAACUUAGAGCUGUGUGGCUUUGAAUACGUCGCUUAACCUUAAUGCCCUCAGCUGUAAAAUGGGCAUUGCAAUACUGCCUUCCUUUUCGAAUUCUUGCGAAACACAUACAUGAUUGUGAACAUAAAACACUCAUCAAAAUGCCUGGUACUGCAAGUCCUCGAUGACUGUUAGAGGCUAAUGAUGAUGAUGCUUUCGUCAGUAUCAAUGUGUAUUUGGACAUACUCUUAUUGCAACCUCACAAAGGAAAACCAGGAAACUUUGAGGUUGGAACAGGACGUUCGAGUGUGACUCUGUGCUAUCUCAAAGCAGAUAUGAGCUG
rnacentral:lncRNA from 1 species